rnacentral:rRNA from 1 species
GACGAACGCUGGCGGCGUGCUUAACACAUGCAAGUCGAACGGAAAGGCCCUGCUUUUGUGGGGUGCUCGAGUGGCGAACGGGUGAGUAACACGUGAGUAACCUGCCCUUGACUUUGGGAUAACUUCAGGAAACUGGGGCUAAUACCGGAUAGGAGCUCCUGCUGUAUGGUGGGGGUUGGAAAGUUUCGGCGGUUGGGGAUGGACUCGCGGCUUAUCAGCUUGUUGGUGGGGUAGUGGCUUACCAAGGCUUUGACGGGUAGCCGGCCUGAGAGGGUGACCGGCCACAUUGGGACAGAGAUACGGCCCGGACUCCUACGGGGUGCAGCAGUGUGGAAUAUUGCACAAUGGGCGGAAGCCUGAUGCAGCAACGCCGCGUGCGGGGUUACGGCCUUCGGGUUGUAGGCCGCUUUCGCCUGUGACGAAGCGUGAGUGACGGUAAUGGGUAAAGAAGCACCGGCUAACUACGUG